rnacentral:rRNA from 1 species
GGAAUAUUGCACAAUGGGCGAAAGCCUGAUGCAGCGACGCCGCGUGCGGGAUGAAGGCCCUUGGGUUGUAAACCGCUUUUGGCAGGGAAGAAGCGAAAGUGACGGUACCUGCAGAAUAAGCCCCGGCCAACUACGUGCCAGCAGCCGCGGUAAUACGUAGGGGGCGAGCGUUGUCCGGAUUUAUUGGGCGUAAAGACCUCGUAGGCGGUUUGGUAAGUCAGCGGUGAAAGUUCGGAGCUCAACUCCGAAA